rnacentral:rRNA from 1 species
UACAGGGGGGGCAAGCGUUGUUCGGAAUUACUGGGCGUAAAGGGCGCGUAGGCGGCCUGCUAAGUCGGACGUGAAAUCCCUCGGCUCAACCGAGGAACUGCGUCCGAUACUGGUGGGCUUGAAUCCGGGAGAGGGAUGUGGAAUUCCAGGUGUAGCGGUGAAAUGCGUAGAUAUCUGGAGGAACACCGGUGGCGAAGGCGGCAUCCUGGACCGGUAUUGACGCUGAGGCGCGAAAGCUAGGGUAGCAAACGGG